ensembl:lncRNA
CAUAUGCCCUACCAGACUGAUACAGCAAAGGGAUUUAUGGUGCCUUGGGGUUCAAUUUGAAUUAACAACCAUCCCAUGUAUGGAGUUCUGCCACAUUUCAGGAAGCAAGCAGAUGAUUGCCUGCCAGCAGCAAUGCCAUGGUAACACCUUAAAACCCACGCUUCAGAUUAUCUGCCCCAUGACCAGGCGAGAUUAUGCACUGCUUUUUAUUAAAGAGAAAAGUAAGGCUCUAAGAAGGAAAAGAGAUUUCUCAAGGUCAAACACUAAUAUGUUAGUGAAGCUUGGAUGCCAACCCACAGCUUUAGUUUUGCAUACUUUAUCUCAUCUUUAUGUUGUUUCCCCAUUUAUGGAUUAGAAAACUGAGACCUAGUGUUGUGGACCAGCCAUGAUAUGUAUAGAUUGGUAGGGGCCAAACUGCGGGCCCUGCAGUCACCAGGCAGAGAUGGACUUGCUUCAGCAAUAGGAAAGUUUUUGCAGAAGGCUGUAGGCUUCCUGGCUGGGUGGGAGGUAAUCCUAUAAUAUCUGCUGAGGACAUUACAAAGAAAGCAAGUACCCAGAUGUGGGGAAGGAUCUUAACUCACUUCUAUUAUGAUGCUAAACUUGUUCCUCAAUCUACUACCUCAUUAUUACUGCAGUCUCUGCUCCAGAAGAGUAGAGUUCCCCUCCCCUGCACUUCUCAUUGGCUAAUAAAAGUGGGCCAGCGGAAGAGGUCUUGUCUUUUGCCCAGUCUGAGGCACUGACCUCAUGGUCCCCCUGUACCUGCAGAUUCGUCUUUUUCUUUUUUUAUCCCUUGGUGUACCCUCUUGAGCAAGCAACCUAGAGUCUGAUCAGCACUCGGUAACCCAGCAAGGCUAAUGUGUGUAAAAUGAAUGCAGCAAGAGCUGGGAUACGAACAUGAUGUAUUUGAUUCUAAAGUCUUAGGGCAUUCCUCAAGCUUGAGGAAUUGUGGAGAAUUUUGGAUGUGUAAGAAAUGGUUGGUGUGCAUGAAAAAAAUCCAGCCUAGUAGUUGAAACUGUCAGGACCUCCCCUUGUACAAAACAACCCUAACAUACACUAAACUAUGAUUUCUGAAAUGCGAUGUGACUACAAGUUACCAGGGAAUUGUGCAAAAAAAAUGUAGAUUUCGAUUUAGUGGGUCUGGGGAGAGCUCAAAGGUCUGCACUUUUAACAAGAGGAUGUAAAUACCAAGCAUCUAAAUCAGGUUUUGCAACUGGCAUAUUCAUGUUUUGAGCCACAUAGUUCUUUGUUAUGUUCAGCAGCAUCUCUGUCCUCUUCCCACUAGGUGUCAGUAAUAUCAUCCUUCUCUGACAACCAAAAAUAUCUCCUGAUAUUGCCAGCUGUUCUCUAGGGGUGCAAAAUCUGUCCCUCCUAAGAGCCAUGAGUCUGAACCAGUGGUUCUCAAACUUGUCUGCACAUGGCAGUCACCUCAGGACCUUCAAAUCCCUGAUGCCUGUGGCCCAGUGGGAAGAUUGUGAUCUACUUGAACUGGAAUGCAGCUUGGGCUGAGGGUACUUAAAAAGCUUCCCCAAAUGAUUCUAAUGUGCAGACAAUUUUGGCAACCUCUGGUCUAAUCUCAAACUCUGGACCAAUCAGCUUCUCCCUCUCAGUUUUCUGGAAUCUGCCAAGCCUAAUUCUCAGAGGUGCCCAUGGCUGACCAGACACCUGGUUCUGAGAAAGGAAGCUCCCUUUCCAGCCAUCACUCAUCACACAGAGAGACCAGUUCUGAGUUGGCUCCAAUCCCCCAGGAAGGAAAAGCAGGAACAAUUUGCACAGGGCUGGAAUAUAUUUAGCCCUCAUCUGCUAUGCUGCAUCGGGCUGCUUUGCAUACAGAAGCAGUAUUUUUUUCGUGUCCAAGAAUCCCAUUUUUGAGCAAGUGCCAUGGCUUGGAUCCCUUCUCUAUCUCCUCCAAACCCUUGGUAGGAUCAUCUUUUAUUCCCCUCAUACUUAUAUGACAAGAUAUGUCCACUGUUUGUCUGAAGCUUGGAUGGAGUGUGUGCAUGGAGGUAGAGAAUCUUUGCAAGGCUAGGAUCUCACCUAGUGGACCCUGCAGAGAGCAUCUGUUCUUAGCUUUCAUCUCAGCUGAACUGCACUCGUGGUAGAACUCAUUGUACUAGGGCUAUUCUUGUCCAAAGCCACAUUUUUUUAUGCUGUCUGUUGGGACAUUCUGUGAAUGUGGACAAAACGAACCCACACUCAGGUCCUUGGGCAGGAAUUGCUCAUGAAGAACUGGCCUUUGUCAGAUGAAUUUCUGCUUCUAGAGAAAUUAACAGAGAAAGAAUCAAUUCUUAGAGCCAUUAUUCCCACCACCUACUUUUGCUUUUUCUUCUUUGGUCACGUAGAAGAGAAGAGACUGAAUUGUGGUGAUGAAAGAGGAAAAAACACUCACCAGAAAACGUAUCUGUCUGGGUGGCAGCCUAGUGCAGCAAUGCUGAUGGUCCUUGGGGACAAGUAGUCUGGAAGUGUUGUGCCCAGAUUACAAAGUCCCAAAGACCACCAGGAGGCCGUUUCCGAUGUAAGCACACGAGGGUCAUUUAUUCAAGCUUAAGCAGGGACUCUCAAUUGUCACCGACACAGCGGAUCGAGAUUGAGAGCCCCGAGUUCCAAAUUAGCAAGGUUUUUAUUGAGAUUAAAACAAGCUUUGGUCAUUAGCAGCCAUAUGAUUGGUUAACAUUUAGCAAGUAUGAAGUGUAGAAUUUUGAUUGGCUAGGCUCAUUGGGGGUUGAAGGGGAUUACGUAUAGGUAUUUACAAGAAACAUGGGGACAAAGGUUAGUGGUCUACUGUCACGUACUGAUGGUCAGCAGACAUCUUGACUAAUGGUCAUGACCACCUUGUGUGGAUAGUUAGCACGUUAACAGAUUGUCCUAUAGAUAGUGGGCCUGGGACACUUGUUUCUAGGGCAAACAGAUGGCUGAGUAAUGAGCUUAGGAAUCUUGAGUUACAGAUCAUGUCUUUUGUCCCAGAUUAAGCACAUUUAAUCAUUAAUUUGAAAGAACAAAGGAGACUGCUCCAUUUUGGACAAAAUGGAGUCAUUCUGGUCUCACAUUAGCAAAAUGGAGUCACUUUUGGUCUCACAGAAGGUUCCAAGGUCUACUUUGCUUUCAAGAAGAUGAGCAAGUUACCUAAUUUCCUUGAGCCUCAAUUUCUUUAUUUGUAAACAGAAAGAACUAUAAACGUCUACAGGCUUGUCAUGAAGGUUUUGUGAGAUCAUAAUGAAAUCUAAUGUUUACUGAACACUAUUAUGUAUCAGGAACAUGCAUGAACUCAGUUCUUACCAGCCCCAACAAGACACAAAAAACUUGGUCUUAUCAUCAUCUCUUCCAUUUUACAUCUGGGGGAAUUAAAGCUCAGAGAGGAUGAGUAAUUUGCUUAAGCUCACACAACAAGUAGGACUCCAGAGCUUGUGAUUUUAAGAAUUUAAAUUCCAGUACUUACUAACAAACUUAACAUACUGGGGAUGGUUUUAAUAUCCUACAAAUGUUCCUGUUCCCCUUUCUAUGUUAUACAACACAGUUAUUUUCUUGAUUUUCAACACUAUCAGUGGGUUGGAUAAAGAUAAAGGAGACAGGCAUAGUAGAAGGAUAAAUAAUGUAUCUUUUGGAUAGUAGAAUCAAAUACGUGCAGAAUCUAAGCUUAUGGAUGAGACGACCUGCUGCUAGAUGUUAAACACACAGGUGUGAAGGAAGCUGCAUCAAGCACUUGGAAGACAGGGAUUCAGGCUAAGUGUGAAUUGCCUGCAUAGAUGCACAGAUGACAGCAAUGCAGGAGAUGACCUUGGCCUGGCCUUCAGUCACUGUUCUCAGUUCUAGAAGGCAACAAGGGCUCAGUUCACAUUGGCAGGUAAUUCACUGCUCAGUUUCUCAGUCAAGCAUCUAUGUUCACUGACAUCUUUUUUCUAAGCCAAGAGUAACAGACUUGAAGAUAUCAUCUAAUUUGUAUUAUAGUUGAGUUCCUCUGUCUGAUCCAUCAACAGAUGAGACAGUGCACAUUAAAAUGGCCACAGGCGCAGUUUCAGUAACUGUUCCUUGAGGGUUGAAUAUGUAUGAAGUACUUUACAGCACAAUUUACAUACAGUACUUAAUAUUGCUCACAAUCACCUAGUGGGAUGGGUCCUUGUCCUGCUUCUUUUUUACAGAUGAGGAAAUGGGGCACAGAGAGAUUAUAUAAUUUGCUAAUGAUUCCAUGCUCAGUGUGAGAAUUUGGAAUGUAAAACCAAUCAGUCCAGAAGCUGGUGGGUCAGGAAGGACUGGCUGACUGAGAGCCUGGAAUGACCUAUGGGUUGGUUGAUGGCUCCCUGGGCACCGCUGGCCAAAGCCCUGGAGACUGCUUUGCAAAGUGGUUCUGACUGGGUCUCCAUAUGUCUUGGCACAUCCCAUCUCUGCCUGGAGAUGGAUUUUCUAUCCUAAAGUGAGACAGCUUCUCCUAAGUGUAACUGUCACUAGCUCUGUGAUAAAAAGGUUGAUUUCCAGUUUUCCCAGCAUAUAGAAGAUGAGAUAGUGUCAUAUGUAAUAAAGCUCAGAAAGGCCAUAAUAUCCCAAGGUUCUGGCUCAUCGUUCUUUCAGCUGUGAAACAAGUUCAGAUCUGCUCCCAUUUUGCAUUUAUCAGGGCAUAAUAUGGAGGGGAAAAUUCAGUGGCUGUAAUUUAGCAGGUUGCCAUAAAUCUUGUCAGGAGAGCUUAAGGGAGCAUGAGCAUCACAGUGUCCUGAGUCCUCCCUAUUUAGUGACACCUUGAGGUCCUUUGCUCUGCUCAGACUGAAAAACCAUCUGGUCCUCAUCCCAGUCCUAAGGGGGUAUGCAUAGUCUUUCCCCAGGGGAGCUUCAGGAAGAAGGAGCAUUCAGAUCCUGUCCUUGUCUCUGGUAUUCUCUGUCUAUCCCUGUCUCUCCUUCCCGUGGGACCUAUGGUCACCAACUCACAUUUUUACCUUGGGCAAAAUUACUUUCUAAGGGGUAAAUUAUUUGGCAUCCCUGGAUCCCCCACUAUUGGAAAUUAAGAGGUCCUUUCCUUCAACAGAAAAUAUUCACUAUGUCUCACAUAGUUCGGUGUUCUAGAGCCAAGCAUCAGAGAUGUGAUGGUGAGCAAAUCUAGACAUGGUCCCCGCCCUUUCAGGAUGGAAAAUCUCAUGGGCCAGAGGGUUUGGAUUGGGUGACUCCCCAUGCAUGUGUCCCUCACCAUCCCUCACUACCCCUUGAGCUAGGCAUUAUCAUCCCCAUUUCAGAGAUGAUGGGAUGAAGCUCAGAGGUGGUCAGUGACUUUCCCAACCUCUCACAGCAAAUAAGCUGUAGAACUCCUACUCAAGUUCUGCUUUGUAGGCUUCCAAAGCCCACUAUUUCUCAAGGGUUCUGAUCUUCUAGCUCAAGGGAUGAGAACUGUUAUGGUUUGUAUCUAGAGGCCCCUGCAAAGCCUCAUGCGCUCACAGGCGGGACUUUUUGGAGGUGGUUGUAUCUAGGGUGUGUGAAAAUGGGUUAAGGGUGUGUAAUAACUAAAUUAGUCCAUUGAUUGGUUUAGCAUAGUUCUGGAUGUGGAUAAUAAAGGUCUACCCUGGGUGUGGGUGACUAUAGCCAAUAGAUUGUUAGCUUGAAUGGAAUAAAAGAAAAGGGAAGCUCAGUGUUGCUGCUUCUUGCCUCCUGCCUGUUAUACCAUGGACUGUUUCUCCUCUGCCAAGCCCCUCUGCCUUGCCACCCUCUCUUGGAGCCAGCUGACUGUGAACUGGAACCUCUACAAACUGUGAGCCAAAAUAAACCUUUCCUCUUUUAACUGGUGGGUGUUGGGUAUUUUGUCCCAGCAACAAGGAAAUAACUAAGACAGGAACUAAUGCUGUGGGAUGCCUUCCAGAACCAGGGCUCCUAAGGCUGUUUCCUGUGUUCAUUCUCACACCAACCACCUCAGAGAGGGAGUGUCAUCUGGACUGUGUGGAUGAAGGACUCAAAUUCAGCAAGGUCAGGGGCUUCCUCAGAGUCACCCCUGGUAGGAGAAGGUAGGGAUGCAGGUGUCCUCCCGCAAGUUUCCAGAGCUCACUGGGCCUUCAACACCCUUAGCCCUGGUUCCUUGGAUCUGCAGCAGAGUUUACCAUCAGCCACUGCAAGUUGUUCACUGCUAUUUUUUUAAUCUUCCUGUGACUCAGUCAUCCAACCCCCAAACCUCAUGUGUUCUGAUGUGGUUAACUGCCUCCUCUCUCACCCAGCCCAUAGGAGGGCUCAGUAAACAUUGGUUAAAUAAAUAAAUAAACACGAAUGGUUAUCUUCAAGAAAGCAAGGCCCAUCCUCUUGUCAAAUGUUCUAUUUCUUAGUCUGGAAAGUAAGAGCAUAAUCUACAUUAGUAUCAGCUCUUCCUGAGCUAGCAGGACUGCACAAAAGUAACCAAACUCCUAGAGGAGAUUUGAAAGUUGCUUCACUCAGAACUUGCAUUCAAUUGGCAGUCUUUAUUUUUUUUUUUGCUAAAUUUUUUUAUUGGUACAUUUUAGGUAUACAACAUAAUUACAUUUCUCAUUGGGAACUUGUACCUUUAUAUAAUGCAUCUUGGUUCUUAUUUUUUCCCCAUUCCUAGCCCUCCCUUCACCCCCUUCACCCUUCCCUAUUUACAAAGACUUUAUUUCCAUUUUUUCCAUUUCUCAGCAUUUUUCCUUUCCCUUCUUUCCUUUCUCCUGCCCCUCCCACUACCCCUACCCCUUUGGACCUUUUCUUCCUAUUUUGCAUUAUCAAUUUUUCAUUCUAAUCAUUGGUGCAUUUUAGGUAUACAAUAAAAUGACAUUCAUCAUUGGAAAUUUGCACCUUUACAUAGUCUCUCUUGGUUCUUAUUUUUCACCCUUGCCCAGCUCUCCCUUCAACCCCUCCAGUCCUCCCUAUUUACAAAGAUUUUGUUCCUAUUUUUCCAUAUUCUCAUAUUAAUCCCAUUCCCUUCUAUCCUUUCCCCUAGCCCUCCCACUUCCUUCUGAUUUGCCCCUUUUCUUCCUAUUUCACAUUACCUAUUAUACAUUUAGUCCUUAUUUACACUUUCAGUUUCUCACACCAGAGAAACUAUUUGGUAUUUAUACAUGUGUGUCCUAUUUAUUUCACUUAAGAGUAUGGCCUCAAUGAGCACCUAGUUAGCUAUAAAUGUCUCUAAUUUCUCAAUUCUAUGGCUGAGUAUUACUCCAUUUUAUAAAAAACUCCACAUUUUCUUUAUCCAGUCUCCAGUGGAUGGGCAUUUGGGCUGUUUCCAAGCUUUAGCUAUCACAAACUGUGCUGCUAUGAACAUGGGCACACAUAUAUCACUGUGGUAUGAUUCUUUUAAUUCUUUGGGGAAGAUCCCCAGCAGUGGAAUAGCGGGGUCAAAUGGGACUUCCAGUACUAGUUUUUGAGGUAUCUCCAUACUGAUUUCCACAGUGCUUGCACCAGUCUACACUCCCACCAGCAGUGGAGCAGGGUUCUUCUUUCCCCACAGCCCCACCAGCAUUUGUUAUUGGUUGAUUUCAUGAUAGCAGCCAUUCUUUCUGGAGUGAGGUGGAAUCUCAGCAUUGUUUUCAUUUGCAUCUCUCCAAUGACCAGUGAUGUUGAACAUUUUUUCAUAUGUUUAUUUGCUAUUUCUCCUUCUUUGUCUAAGAAAUGUCUGUUCAUUUCAGAUGUCCAUUUAUGGAUUGGGUAUUUAAAUUUGGGAGGUGUGAAUUUUUAAAGUGUUUUCUACAUUCUAGAUAGUAGACCUUUGUCUGAGGAACAACAGUGAAAAUUUUUUCCUAUGUUGUGGGCUGUCUCUUCACACUGUUGGUGGUUUCUUUUGCUGUGCAGAAGCUUUUUAAUAAGAGAUCCCACUUUUUGAUUGUUUGUGCUAGUUCAUGGGCAACUGAGGUUUUGUUCAUAAAAUGUUUUCCUACACUAAUGUCUUCAAGAGUUCUACCUAACCUCUCUUCCAGCUGCUUCAGUGUUUCUGUUUUAAUAUUUAGAUCUUUAAUCCAUUUUGAUUUUAGUUUAGUGCAUGGUGAUAGAUAUAGGUCUAGUUUUAAUCUUUGGCAAGUUGAAACCCAGUUUUUCCAGCACCAUUUAUUAAAGAGGCUAUCUUUCCUCAGGUGAGCAUGUUUGCUCCUUUGUCAAAGAAAAGGUGGCUGAGUGUGUCUGGAGUUGUUUCUGCAUCUUCUAAUCUGUUCCACUGGUCCUCAGGUCUUUUUCUUCACCAGUACCAUGCUGUUUUUAUCACAGUAGCUUUGUAUAUAGUUUCAAGUUGGGGGUUAUGAUACCCCCUGACAUUUCUCUGUUGCCUAGAAUUGCUUUUGCCAUUCUAGGUCUCUACUUGUUCCAAAUGAAUUUUUGGAUUGUUUUCUCAAGGUCCAUGAAGUAUGCUGCUGGAAUUUCAGUUGGGAUUGCACUGAAUCUACAUCACAGUUUUGGAAAUAUGGCCAUUUUCAUUGUUUGUUCUUCCUACCCAGGAGCAAGGGAUGUCUUUCCAUUUUCUGAUAUCUUCUUCAAUCUCUCUUUUCAGAGUGCUAUAGUUUUCAGAGAAGAGGUCUUUGAUUUCUUUUGUUAGGUUGAUUCCUAGGUAUUUCAUUUUUUUGGAUACUAUUGUGAAAAGAAUUGUUUGCUCCAUUUCUAUCUCAGUGAUUCUGUUCAUGUAGAGGAAAGCUAUUGAUUUUUGUGUGUUGACCUUGUAUGCAGCUACUUGACUCAAUUUGGUUAUUAAGUCUAGAAGACUUGUUGGAGUUCUUGGGGUCUUUAUAUAGAGUAUCAUGUCAUCAGCAAAAAAUGACAAUUUGACUUCUUCAUUUCCUAUCUUUACUCCUUUUACUUCUUUCUCUUGUCAAAUUGCUGUGGCUAAUGUUUCCAAGACUAUAUUGAACAGUAGUGGUAAUAGUGAACAUCCUUUUUUUGUUCCUGAUAUUAGUGUGAAUGAUUUCAGCUUUUGAGCAUUUAGUAAGAUAUUGGUUGUUGGUUUUUCAUAGAUGGCUUUUAUCAGAUUGAGGUAGAGACCAUCUAUUCCAAUUUUUUUUUAUCAUAUAUGCGUGUUGGAUUUUGUCAAAUGCAUUUUCUGUAUCUAUUGAUAUGAUCACAUAGUUUUUGUUCUUGG